rnacentral:misc_RNA from 1 species
GAUGAAGAACGUAGCGAAAUGCGAUAAGUAAUGUGAAUUGCAGAAUUCAGUGAAUCAUCGAGUCUUUGAACGCACAUUGCGCCCCCUGGUAUUCCGGGGGGCAUGCCUGUCCGAGCGUCAUUGCCGCCCUCAAGCACGGCUUGUGUGUUGGGCCCCCGCCCCCCGGCUUCGGGGGGCGGGCCCGAAAGGCAGCGGCGGCACCGCGUCCGGUCCUCGAGCGUAUGGGGCUUCGUCACCGCUCUGUAGGCCCGGCCGGCGCCCGCCGGCGACCCCAAUCAAUCUUUCCAGGUUGACCUCGGAUCAGGUAGGGAUACCCGCUGAACUUAAGCAUAUCAAUAAGCGGAGGA